rnacentral:rRNA from 1 species
GUCGAACGUUGUUUUCGGGGAGCUGGGCAUAAGGUUCACAGGCUCCUAGCUCAAGUGGUCUGCCCUGCUUCCGGGCGCUAGCUACGGCUUGGAUUUUCAGCCGUAGUUUGCUGUCAAACUCCGAAUUUCGGAAGAGUUUCGGAAAAGCAAAAGCAUAGUUGAUAACAAAGUGGC